rnacentral:rRNA from 1 species
UACGUAGGGGGCUAGCGUUGUCCGGAUUUAUUGGGCGUAAAGAGCGUGUAGGUGGCCCUGUAAGUCCGUUGUGAAAGUCAAAGGCUCAACCUUUGAAAGCCGAUGGAUACUGCAGGGCUAGAGUACGGAAGAGGCGAGUGGAAUUCCUGGUGUAGCGGUGGAAUGCGCAGAUAUCAGGAGGAACACCAAUAGCGAAGGCAGCUCGCUGGGACGUUACUGACACUGAGGCGCGAAAGCGUGGGGAGCGAACAGG